rnacentral:lncRNA from 1 species
AGGGGCCGGUGUCGGGAGGGUCCCAGGGACUGGGAGGCCCGUCGGGGCUGGGCUCAGGGGCCGAGACCUAGCUGGGCUUGGGGCGGGGCCGAGACGGAGCGAGGGGUCCCGGGUGUGGGAAACGGGAAGGGGUUUGAGGAGGGGAUCGGAAUGUGGCUCAAGUUCGGGAGGCGUUACCUGCGGAGGGUUUGAGGCAAGCCCAGGAGCGAGCCCACGGUCUGCUGACGCGGGGCCAGGGGCGGGCCCCAGAAUCCGGAGCUUCGGGCGGGGCGGAGUCCGAGUUUCGGGCCCGGGAGGCGGGGCCAGUUAGGGCGAGGGUCCCUGGGAUCGACGGGUCAGGUCUUGGGCUAACGUAGGCACUCUCGCAGUUCCUCCGCCUUCAGGAAGGUCUUUUUAGCAGGGGCCUUACGGGUGCGCGCUUCGGUCCUGGAGGCCUUAUCCUAACCUCUUCUCCAUCAGCGCCACCCGUCUGGGGCCUGAAACGAGGGAGCUUUCCCUCUGUCCCCCAGCCUUUGGACUGUCACCAAACAAGCCAUUCGUUCAUCAAAUACUUUUUAAGCGCCUACCAUGUGCCUGACAAGGGAGAUGUAACGCUGUUGUUCCACACCAGAAGCAAAUGAGCGCAAGAUCUGACAAAGAAAAAGAAAGGUUCAUCUUUUAUUUCUCCAAACACUUUCAUUUAAAUCAAGAGGAUGGGAUGUGGUUAUUGCUGUGUUUUUAGACAGAAUCAACGGUUUCUGGCUCUGAGAUGUUGCAUACACCCUCUCAGUCCCUGUAUCCUGAGAUGGAGUCACCUGAGGAUCCACAGCAAGUCCUAACCAGGGAUGGGUCUGGGUGAUUAAGGAAGGUUGGCUUCAGAACUGGGCCAGGGGCACUGCUUUGCUUUUGCUGUUUUGAUCAGCCCUCUGCCUGCAGGAGACAAGGAAAACCAAUGAGAACAGCCCAGUAAAGGCGCCAUUCCCCAUUUUACAGCUGAGGAAACUGAGUUACAGAGCUUUUCUGCACUGAGUCAUCAGGAGCAAAUGCUAGAUCAGAUAGGGUCUCUUUCUCUGCCACCCAGGCCAGAGUGCAGUUGACGCAGGGCAGGGGAGCCCCGAAUUGGAGCAUAGUGUGUCCGGAACUGGUGGGUUCUUGGUCUCACUGACUUCAAGAAAGAAGCCGCGGACCCU